rnacentral:lncRNA from 1 species
UCCUUCCAUGGGUGUUUUGUUCCCAUUUCUAAGAAGGGGCAAAGUGUCCACACUUUGGUCUUCGUUCUUCUUGAAUUUCAUGGGUUUAGCAAAUUGUAUCUUAUAUCUUGGGUAUCCUAAGUUUCUGGGCUAAUAUUCACUUAUCAGUGAGUAUAUAUUGUGCGAGUUCCUUUGUGAUUGGGUUACCUCACUCAGGAUGAUGCCCUCCAGGUCCAUCCAUUUGCCUAGGAAUUUCAUAAAUUCAUUUUUUUAAUGCCUGAGUAGUACUCCAUUGUGUAAAUGUACCACAUUUUCUGUAUCCAUUCCUCUGUUUAGGGAAAUCUGGGUUCUUUCCAGCUUCUGGCCAUUAUAAAUAAGGGUGCUAUGAACAUAGUGGAGCAUGUGUCCUUCUUACCGGUUGGGACAUCUUCUGGAUAUAUGCCCAGGAGAGGCAUUGCGGGAUCCUCCGGUAGUACUAUGUCCAAUUUUCUGAGGAACCGCCAGACUGAUUUCCUGAGUGGUUGUACAAGCCUGCAAUCCCACCAACAAUGGAGGAGUGUUCCUCUUUCUCCACAUCCUCGCCAGCAUCUGCUGUCACCUGAAUUUUUGAUCUUAGCCAUUCUGACUGGAGUGAAGUGGAAUCUCAGGGUUGUUUUGAUUUGCAUUUCCCUGAUGAUUAAGGAUGUUGAACAUUUUUUCAGGUGCUUCUCAGCCAUUCCGUAUUCCUCAGGUGAGAAUUCUUUGUUCAGCUCUGAGCCCCAUUUUUUAAUGGGGUUAUUUGAUUUUCUGGAGUCCACCUUCUUGAGUUCUUUAUAUAUAUUGGAUAUUAGUCCCCCAUCCGAUUUGGGAUAGGUAAAGAUCUUUUCCCAAUCUGUUGGUGGCCUUUUUGUCCUAUUGACGGUGUCUUUUGAUAGUCUACUUUUAAAGAUAUUAAUUCAGGGGAAUACUGGCCAUGCUAAUCAGGCACAUUGGAGAAUGACAAAAGUUUCUGUUAAUAAUUUACCUUUUCCCACACUAUUUUUCCUCUCCCUCUGUUUUCUUUUUAAGCAUUAUUUCAGUGCCCAUUCUGCACAGAAUUUUAGCUAUUUGUUGAGGUAAGAAAUGUCUUUUA